rnacentral:rRNA from 1 species
GUGCUAAGAAUGCAAGUCGAACGGGGACUUCGGUCCUAGUGGCGAACGGUCGCGUAACACGUAAGCAACCUGCCCUGAAGUGGGGGACAACAUCCCGAAAGGGGUGCUAAUACCGCAUGUGGUCACGAGUCGGCAUCGACUUGUGUCUAAAGAUUUAUCGCUUCAGGAUGGGCUUGCGGCCUAUCAGGUAGUUGGUGGGGUAAUGGCCUACCAAGCCGACGACGGGUAGCUGGUCUGAGAGGACGAUCAGCCGGAUUGGGACUGAGAUACGGCCCAGACUCCUACGGGGGGCAGCAAUUAGGAAUCUUGCGCAAUGGGGGAAACCCUGACGCAGCGACGUCGCGUGAAGGAUGAAGGCCCUCGGGUCGUAAACUUCUUUUGAGUGGGAAGAAAUUUGACGGUACCACUCGAAUAAGCCCCGGCUAACUACGUGCCAGCAGCCGCGGUAAUACGUAGGGGGCGAGCGUUGUCCGAAGUUACUGGGCGUAAAGCGCGCGUAGGCGGUUAUUCAAGUCUGGGGUGAAAGGUUCAGCGCUCAACGUGAACAGUGCCUUGGAUACUGGAUGACUUGAGUCUGGGAGGGGGAAGGGGAAUUCCUGGUGUAGCGGUGAAAUGCGUAGAUAUCAGGAGGAACACCGGUGGCGAAGGCGCCUUCCUGGCCUAAGACUGACGCUGAGGUGCGAAAGCGUGGGGAGCAAACGGGAUUAGAUACCCCGGUAGUCCACGCCGUAAACGAUGAGUGCUAGGUGUCGGGGGUAUCGACCCCCCNCGGUGCCGUCGCUAACGCAUUAAGCACUCCGCCUGGGGAGUACGGCCGCAAGGUUGAAACUCAAAUGAAUUGACGGA